AUUGUGGUCAUUCGUGUCGCGUCUCAUAAUAUAGUUACAGUCAUAAGCAUAUCUGCUAUCGCGACGGACAGACGUGGAAUGUAUUAAGAGAAUUAUUAAAUGACAUUCCUAUACGUUAAAUGCUACUAAUACCGUGUGAAAUUAAAACACCAUUAAAAUGAUACGUAUGAUAACUUUGACGAUAUUUGCCGUUUUUCUAUUCGACAUCGUCAGUUCAGCGAUAUUACCAACGAUGUCUGACAAUAUGGCGUCAGGAGAGAGAUCAAAUAUGACAGAUGACUAUAAGAAAUACAACUAUAUUAUAACGACAUAUUUAUAGUGCCUACUUCCCUACAUAUUAUU